ACGCUAUCCGAGAGCAGUCCGAGAGUCGCGUGCUUGUUCGCUGGUCUGGCUUCGAAUUUCUUUGAUUUCAACAGAAUAUAAGUUGCCGCCAUCAAUAUGAGCGAUACGGUCAAUUCCGGAGCAACUGCGGACUCGCAAAAUUCCCAAGAUGUCUCGAAUGCACCCCAACCGCUGAUAGAAUGUUGCUUAAAACAGAUAAGAGAUGCUCCCACCAUGGAUGCGAGGGUUCAUCAACCGUAUU